rnacentral:rRNA from 1 species
GAUGAACGCUGGCGGCGUGCCUAAUACAUGCAAGUCGAGCGAACAGAUAAGGAGCUUGCUCCUUUGACGUUAGCGGCGGACGGGUGAGUAACACGUGGGUAACCUACCUAUAAGACUGGGAUAACUUCGGGAAACCGGAGCUAAUACCGGAUAAUAUUUCGAACCGCAUGGUUCGAUAGUGAAAGAUGGUUUUGCUAUCACUUAUAGAUGGACCCGCGCCGUAUUAGCUAGUUGGUAAGGUAACGGCUUACCAAGGCGACGAUACGUAGCCGACCUGAGAGGGUGAUCGGCCACACUGGAACUGAGACACGGUCCAGACUCCUACGGGAGGCAGCAGUAGGGAAUCUUCCGCAAUGGGCGAAAGCCUGACGGAGCAACGCCGCGUGAGUGAUGAAGGUCUUCGGAUCGUAAAACUCUGUUAUUAGGGAAGAACAUACGUGUAAGUAACUGUGCACGUCUUGACGGUACCUAAUCAGAAGGCCACGGCUAACUACGUG